rnacentral:rRNA from 1 species
UACGGAGGGGGCUAGCGUUGUUCGGAAUUACUGGGCGUAAAGCGCACGUAGGCGGCUUUGUAAGUUAGAGGUGAAAGCCCGGGGCUCAACUCCGGAAUUGCCUUUAAGACUGCAUCGCUAGAAUUGUGGAGAGGUAAGUGGAAUUCCGAGUGUAGAGGUGAAAUUCGUAGAUAUUCGGAAGAACACCAGUGGCGAAGGCGACUUACUGGACACAUAUUGACGCUGAGGCGCGAAAGCGUGGGGGAGCAAACAGG